rnacentral:sRNA from 1 species
AGAUCCAUGGCUGCCACGGCCUUAAGCUGCGGUGCUGCCGCUUCCUGCCCUUUCGGGCGCCCUGCACACCGACACUCAGACUCACACUCACACCCACACCACACCCUCCAUGCCUCCUGGCUGCCGCCUGUCCCCACGGCCCCCGGCCUCUCAGAGCCACCCUCCCCGUGUCCCCCACAGCGGCGCGGCAUGAAGGGGAAGGCCCGGAAGCUGUUCUACAAGGCCAUCGUGCGGGGUGAGGAGACCCUGCGUGUCGGGGACUGUGCCGUCUUCCUGUCAGCUGGGCGGCCCAACCUCCCCUACAUCGGCCGCAUCGAGAGCAUGUGGGAGUCGUGGGGCAGCAACAUGGUCGUCAAGGUCAAGUGGUUCUACCACCCCGAGGAGACCAAGCUGGGCAAGAGGCAGUGCGACGGCAAGAACGCACUGUACCAGUCCUGCCACGAGGAUGAGAACGACGUGCAGACCAUCUCCCACAAGUGCCAGGUCGUGGCGCGCGAGCAGUACGAGCAGAUGGCCCGGAGCCGCAAGUGCCAGGACCGGCAGGACCUCUACUACCUGGCGG